GACGAACGCUGGCGGCGUGCUUAACACAUGCAAGUCGAACGCUGAAGCUCAGCUUGCUGGGUGGAUGAGUGGCGAACGGGUGAGUAACACGUGAGUAACCUGCCCUCUUCUUUGGGAUAACGCCCGGAAACGGGUGCUAAUACUGGAUAUUCACUGAUUCUCGCAUGGGGGUUGGUGGAAAGGUUUUUUCUGGUGGGGGAUGGGCUCGUGGCCUAUCAGCUUGUUGGUGGGGUGAUGGCCUACCAAGGCUUUGACGGGUAGCCGGCCUGAGAGGGUGACCGGUCACAUUGGGACUGAGAUACGGCCCAGACUCCUACGGGAGGCAGCAGUGGGGAAGAUUGCACAAUGGGCGAAAGCCUGAUGCAGCGACGCCGCGUGAGGGAUGGAGGCCUUCGGGUUGUAAACCUCUUUCGCUCAUGGUCAAGCCGCAGCUUUGGGUUGUGGUGAGGGUAGUGGGUAAAGAAGCGCCGGCUAACUACGUG
rnacentral:rRNA from 1 species